rnacentral:rRNA from 1 species
UACGGAGGGGGCAAGCGUUGUUCGGAAUUACUGGGCGUAAAGGGCGCGCAGGCGGCUGCUCAAGUCAGGCGUGAAAGGCCUGGGCUCAACCCAGGAAUUGCGCUUGAGACUGGGCUGGCUUGAGUGCGGGAGAGGAUGGUGGAAUUCCCAGUGUAGAGGUGAAAUGCGUAGAUAUCGGGAGGAACACCAGUGGCGAAGGCGGCAUCCUGGCCAUGUACUGACGCUCAGGGGCGAAAGCGUGGGGAGCAAACCGG